rnacentral:rRNA from 1 species
GAUGAACGCUGGCGGCGUGCCUAAUACAUGCAAGUCGAGCGAACGGACGAGAAGCUUGCUUCUCUGAUGUUAGCGGCGCACGGGUGAGUAACACGUGGAUACCCUACCUAUAAGACUGGGAUAACUUCGGGAAACCGGCGCUAACACCGGAUGAUAUUUUGUACCGCAUGGUUCAAAAGUGAAAGACGGUCUUGCUGUCACUUAUAGAUGGAUCCGCGCUGCAUUAGCUAGUUGGUAAGGUAACGGCUUACCAAGGCAACGAUGCAUAGCCGACCUGAGAGGGGGUUCGCCCACACUGGAGCUGAGACACGGUCCAGAGGCCUACGGGAGGCAGCAGUAGCGAAUGGUCCGCAAUGGGCGAAAGCCUGAGGCAGCAGCGCAGCGUGAGUGAUGAAGGUCUGCGGAUCGUAAAACUCUGUUAUGAGGGAAGAACAGAUGUGUAAGUAACUGUGCGCAUCUUGACGGUACCGAAGCAGAAGGCCACGGCAAACUAGGG